rnacentral:rRNA from 1 species
ACGAACGCUGGCGGCAGGCUUAACACAUGCAAGUCGAACGGUAACAGGGGCUUCGGCCCGCUGACGAGUGGCGGACGGGUGAGUAACGCGUAGGAAUCUUUCCAGUAGCGGGGGAUAGCUCGGCGAAAGCCGGAUUAAUACCGCAUACGCCCCACGGGGGAAAGCAGGGGAUCGUAAGACCUUGCACUAUUGGAUGAGCCUACGUCUGAUUAGCUAGUUGGUAGGGUAAAAGCCUACCAAGGCGACGAUCAGUAGCUGGUCUGAGAGGACGAUCAGCCACACUGGGACUGAGACACGGCCCAGACUCCUACGGGAGGCAGCAGUGGGGAAUAUUGGACAAUGGGCGCAAGCCUGAUCCAGCAAUGCCGCGUGUGUGAAGAAGGCCUGCGGGUUGUAAAGCACUUUCAGCGGGGAAGAAAAGCUUAGGGUCAAUACCUCUAAGUCUUGACGUCA